GACGUAGGGCGCGAGCGUUGUCCGGAUUUAUUGGGCGUAAAGAGCUCGUAGGCGGCUUGUCGCGUCGACUGUGAAAUCCCGCGGCUCAACCGCGGGUCUGCAGUCGAUACGGGCAGGCUAGAGUUCGGUAGGGGGAGACUGGAAUUCCUGGUGUAGCGGUGAAAUGCGCAGAUAUCAGGAGGAACACCGGUGGCGAAGGCGGGACUCUGGGCCGAUACUGACGCUGAGGAGCGAAAAGCGUGGGGGAGCGAACAGG
rnacentral:rRNA from 1 species